rnacentral:lncRNA from 1 species
UUUUGGACUAUGUAUAUGGAACUCCGUUUGUUUAGCUUCUGUUUACUCUAGCAGCUCUAUACUAUUAUUUGUAGUAUUGUAUGAUUUACAGGUACAGCUAUCGCUUCGUAUACAGGAAAAAUUCCUUUGUAAUACGGCGGAUUUGUCGGCGUGCCCGGAGAACGUGUAAUCUGAGGCGUGACAAUAAAUUUGUAAUUAUUUAUUAAUAUUUUUAAAUUUAUAACUCUUAUAUAUUAUUAAUAUAUGUUUAUUAUAAUUUUGAAUAUAUUUAAUCUAUAUAUAAAAAUAAUAAUAAUAAUAUAUAUAGUAUAUUAAUUAUUAUAUAUUCAUUAUAUAGCCGAAUUUUUGAUUCCGAAUUUUUAAUUGGUGAAUGUAUAAUAUCCGUAUAAAUCGCGUAUUCGAAUAAUUACCGAAUCCGUUUUUUAGCCGUAUUUUUCAACGAAUUUAAAAAUUAAAUGACGAAUUUUAUCCGAAUUAUAUUCGUACUGAAUUUUUGCCGAAUCCGAAUUACUAUGCUCCUAACUAAUGCUAUAAAUAACCUCAUUUCAAAAAAAUAUUUCCAAAUUAACCUUUUUUUAAAAAAUUUCUAAUCUAGUCAUAUUUUGAUGCAUUUUAUGUAUUAAUUAGAGAGAGAAAAUUUCGUAGAUAACAAUUUUAUUUUUUAAAAGAAAGGUAGAAUGGAAAUUUUCUUUUGAAAUGAGGUUGUUUAUUUAUUUAUUUACAGCAUUAGUUCUCUCUCCCAUAACUCCAUCUCUCUCCCACCUUCCUCUCACCCCAAACCAAGAUUGAUCUCUCCGACGAAUCUCUGAGGUAUUCUCUCGCGCCCCCACUUCCUCUCUCUCUCUCUCUCUCUCUUUAUUACUCUUUCUCUCCUCCUCUUGCGCGCGCUCACCAAAGUGGCCGGAUCCGGCCCAACAGGAUUCAGCCGGCGCGAAUCUGGCCCGA